rnacentral:rRNA from 1 species
UGAACGCUGGCGGCAUGCCUUACACAUGCAAGUCGAACGGCAGCGCGGGAGCAAUCCUGGCGGCGAGUGGCGAACGGGUGAGUAAUACAUCGGAACGUGCCCAAUCGUGGGGGAUAACGCAGCGAAAGCUGUGCUAAUACCGCAUACGAUCUACGGAUGAAAGCAGGGGAUCGCAAGACCUUGCGCGAAUGGAGCGGCCGAUGGCAGAUUAGGUAGUUGGUGAGGUAAAGGCUCACCAAGCCUUCGAUCUGUAGCUGGUCUGAGAGGACGACCAGCCACACUGGGACUGAGACACGGCCCAGACUCCUACGGGAGGCAGCAGUGGGGAAUUUUGGACAAUGGGCGCAAGCCUGAUCCAGCCAUGCCGCGUGCAGGAUGAAGGCCUCGGUUGUAACUGCUUUGUACGACGAACGGCUUUCUAACUAAGAGGCUAAUGACGGUACCGUAACGAAUAAGCACCGGCUAACUAC